GUAGUCUCGCACAGAUGCAUAUCAAUAAGCGGAGGAAAAGAAACUAACAAGGAUUCCCCUAGUAACGGCGAGUGAAGCGGGAAGAGCUCAAAUUUGAAAUCUUAAAGGGUUUCCCUUUACGAAUUGUAGUUUAAAGAAGUGUUUUCUGUUGAGGUUUUGGUAAAAGUUCUUUGGAAUAGGACAUCAUAGAGGGUGAGAAUCCCGUAUUUGACCUUUACUUUCAACUUUGUGAUACACUUUCAAAGAGUCGGAUUGUUUGGGAAUGCAGUCCAAAAUGGGUGGUAAAUUUCAUCUAAAGCUAAAUAUUGGCGAGAGACCGAUAGCGAACAAGUACCGUGAGGGAAAGAUGAAAAGAACUUUGAAAAGAGAGUUAAACAGUACGUGAAAUUGUCAAAAGGGAAGCGUUUGACACCAGUGUUGUUUUUCUGAAAAUCAAUUAAAGAACUGUUUAUGCUAAGUUGUUUAGACUUUAUCAGCUAACUGUUUAGUUUUGAGCUUUUCUUUAAUGCACUUUUCAGUUAACAAGUCAACAUCAAUUUCUUUUGCUGUAAAAAAGCUUGAGGAAGGUGGCUUGAGAUUCGUCUUAAGUGUUUAUAGCCUCUUGCCUAUGCAGUCGGAGAGAUUGAGGUCUGCAGCGUAGAUCCUUCGGGGCUAAAUGCAUUUGUGCUAAGUUAUAGCAUUUUAUAGACAACUUGUUGACUAUGAUUUGUCUUGUAGCUUACUCGCUUAUGUUAUUUUACCUACGCUUAGGAUGUUGAUCUGUAGUGCGUGCGC
rnacentral:rRNA from 1 species